GACGAACGCUGGCGGCGUGCCUAAUACAUGCAAGUCGAGCGAGCGGCGGACGGGUGAGUAAUGUAUGGGGACCUGCCCGAUAGAGGGGGAUAACUACUGGAAACGUUGGCUAAUACCGCAUACUAUCCGUUGAACCCAGCUGGGAUUAGCUAGUAGGUGGGGUAAAGGCUCACCUAGGCGACGAUCCCUAGCUGGUCUGAGAGGAUGAUCAGCCACACUGGGACUGAGACACGGCCCAGACUCCUACGGGAGGCAGCAGUGGGGAAUAUUGCACAAUGGGCGCAAGUCUGAUGCAGCCAUGCCGCGUGUGUGAAGAAGGCCUUAGGGUUGUAAAGCACUUUCAGCGGGGAGGCGUUACCCGCAGAAGAAGCACCGGCUAACUCCGUGCCAGCAGCCGCGGUAAUUC
rnacentral:rRNA from 1 species